UGUGGGAAUUCAGAAUUCCAGAUGUCGCUACCAAAGAGACAAAACAUUCUGAGACUCUGGGGGUGGGGGCGGGGGUGGAGGGACUAAGAAGGCAUACGCCUGCUGGAGACUCUGCGGUCAUAGUUCUGCUGAGAGGCAAGUGGAUGGACGAGAUAUGUGGGAGGAGCCACGGUCGAUGCCUUCGGUUGCAAAGAGGUCUGCCGGAGAAGGUGUCUACCACCUGCUUGAAAGCCGAUUCCCUGUGUGAUUUACUAUUGUCCUUUGAGCAGUCUGAAAACAUUGAUUGGAUAUACACCGUGUGCCAGGCCCCAUGCCAGGAGCUGCUGCGUGGAGUCACGGACGCAGAGUCUCCGAGUUGAAGGGACCUCAGAGCCCAUCUGCCACCCAGAGAGCAAGUCUUUUCCACGGCUUCCUUGACCAGUUGUCAUCCACGAACCCCCUACUUUGUGAGGUGGCGAAGUCCACGGUUGGCUGGUGUGCGGAUCCGAAUCUGCCUCCAGGCACACGGGCCAAAUCUGCUUCCUCUUAUACACGACAGCCCUUCAGAUUCUGAAGCCGGCUGUCAUGUUCCCUUGAAGUCUCUUUUCUAGACUGAAAAACACCAGUUCCGUGAAAGGAAGCGUUUGCCUGGAUCUGAUCCUUCUGGUUUCCUGUCUCUGGGUGCUGGGGUUCGUGACCGUCCUCUUUACAAGUGGUGCCUUAUUCCUGGAAGUAAGUUCACCAGCAGAGGGAGGGACUCAAAUCACCCCCCUUCCCUUUUCUGGCUACAGACCAGCCUUUUCUCUGGAGAGGGAGACUGGCCCCCCCACCCCCUCCCAGGACAGCCUUUGGGGGAUAGAAGGACUCCCAAGAAAGGCAAGAGACAGGUGUAUCCAGGCCCCUCCAGCCCUUUUCCUCUUCCUACUGCUGAGGCCUCACUUGCCCAGAGUCUGUGGACCAGUAUCUGGCCUUCACGGAACUGUUUCCCCUGCUCCAGCAGGCGGGUCCCAGCUUGCACAGACUGUGCCGGAAGGAGCAAGACUUCUGGUUCGCAACCUACCGUUCUCGGUCAUAGUCCCUGUCUCCGCACCCAUCCGACGUCCUUGGCUCUUCCCCUCCACCAAGGCAGCACCAGGAGAAAGGUGCCCAUUAGAGAAAGAAAGGGGAGAAAAAUACCCUUGGUGCAGACCAGCCACAGAGGGAACAUGCCCUGCGUCGUGCUCUGUUGCCUUGGCCUUGGGAAGGGAUGCAGGGGAGGAGACCCCAGAGGACCAGGCGGCAGGCAGGGAAGAUGAUUUGAGCAGUGGCAUUUGGACUGAUUGGAGGGGAAAGAGUCUGGGGCUAGGACGGCUUCAUUAUAAUAAUUGUCUCCUUCCCCCGUAGUUACGACCUUGCAGAAUGUAACUUGAUGUUUGUAAUGAGCCAUAAUUAGACAAUCACCAAAAGUUUCAGUGAGUAGAGUGAAUGCAAACCCCAGCCAGGGGUGGUAUUCACUGUUGGUGUGCACCUGUUAUAUGCUCCUUUUCCUCUCCCUUGUGGUUGGAGCCGCAGGGGAAGGCCUUUCAUUGCCAUGGCUACCUCCUCAGCGGCUCUGUUACUGCUUGGCCAGGGCCUGGGGUCCUGUGAGGCACCCCUCUCUGGUUCCCAGCCCUUGGAUUUCCUCCUGCCAUUUUGGGGUUACGUCCCAGGAUCAUCAGCCCUAAGAAAUUUGAGCAUGAUCCCAGGGUUCUGGGUCCCAAGGAAGAGAGUCCAGGGGCCAGGCCACGGCAACACCCCUCGUCCCUGAAGAGGUGGCCAAGCAUUUUUGUCACUGUUUCCAAGAAAGAACGAGACUGGUGCCCAGGACUGCACAGCUGGGAAGUGACUAUUAAUAAAACACAUUCUCUCUUG